GUCUACGGCCACGCUACCCUGAAAAAGCCCGAUCCGUCCGAUCUCGGAAGCUAAGCAGGGUCGGGCCCGUUAGUAUUUGGAUGGGAGACCACCUAGGAAGACCAGGUGCUGUAGGCG
rnacentral:rRNA from 1 species